GACAGAGGGUGCGAACGUUGCUCGGAAUUACUGGGCGUAAAGCGCGUGUAGCGGGUACGUGUGUCGGGGUGUGAAAUCCCCAGGCUCAACCUGGGAACUGCAUCCGAAACUGCGUAUCUAGAGUGUCGGAGAGGGAAGUGGAAUCGUGGUGUAGCGGUGAAAUGCGUAGAUAUUGGGAGGAACACCGGUGGCGAAGGCGGCCACCUGGACCGGUUCUGACGCUGAGGCGCGAAAGUGUGGGGAGC
rnacentral:rRNA from 1 species